rnacentral:rRNA from 1 species
ACGCUGGCGGCGUGCCUAACACAUGCAAGUCGAGCGGCAGCGAGUUUUACACUGAAUUCUGGAAGCUUCUGGUUUAAAGAGAAGAUUUAUUCAAGAAUUUUGUGUAAAAUGUCGGCGAGCGGCGGACGGCUGAGUAACGCGUGGGAACGUACCCCAAAGUGAGGGAUAACGCAUCGAAAGGUGUGCUAAUACCGCAUAUGGUCUUCGGAUUAAAGCCUUCGGGCGCUUUGGGAACGGCCUGCGUAAGAUUAGAUAGUUGGUGGGGUAAUGGCCUACCAAGUCGACGAUCUUUAACUGGUUUGAGAGGAUGAUCAGUCAGACUGGAACUGAGACACGGUCCAGACUCCUACGGGAGGCAGCAGUGAGGAAUCUUCCACAAUGGGCGAAAGCCUGAUGGAGCAACGCCGCGUGCAGGAUGAAGGCCUUCGGGUUGUAAACUGCUUUUAUAAGUGAGGAUUAUGACAGUAACUUAUGAAUAAGGAUCGGCUAACUACGUGCCAGCAGCCGCGGUCAUACGUAGGAUCCGAGCGUUAUCCGGAGUGACUGGGCGUAAAGAGUUGCGUAGGUGGUUCGAUAAGCGAAUAGUGAAAUCUGGAGGCUCAACCAUUCAGACUAUUAUUCGAACUGUUGAACUCGAGAGCAGAAGAGGUAGCUGGAAUUUCUAGUGUAGGAGUGAAAUCCGUAGAUAUUAGAAGGAACACCGAUGGCGUAGGCAGGUUACUGGGCUGUUUCUGACACUGAGGCACGAAAGCGUGGGGAGCGAACCGGAUUAGAUACCCGGGUAGUCCACGCCGUAAACGAUGGAUACUAGCUGUUGGAGGUAUCGACCCCUUCAGUAGCGAAGCUAACGCGUUAAGUAUCCCGCCUGUGGAGUACGGCCGCAAGGCUAAAACAUAAAGGAAUUGACGGGGACCCGCAC